UUCCGGUUGAUCCUGCCGGAGGCUACCGCUAUUGGAGUUCGAUUAAGCCAUGCGAGUCGCGAGAAAUUAGAUUCUCGGCGUACCGCUCAGUAACACGUGGGUAACCUGCCCUAUGCUGGAUAAUAACCUCGGGAAACUGAGAAUAAUGAUCCAUAGUUCACUACGCCUGGAACGGUGAGUGGAUGAAAGCCCCGGCGGCAUAGGAUGGGCCUGCGGCGUAUCAGGUUGUAGGGGGUGUAACGUACCCUCUAGCCCUCUACGCGUACGGGUGUUGGGAGACAUAGCCCGGAGAUGGAUUCUGAGACACGAAUCCAGACCCUACGGGGUGCAGCAGGCGCGAAAACUUGGCAAUGCGAGAAAUCGUGACCAGGGAACUCCAAGUGCAUCGGGUAAGACCGAUGCUUUUCUUGACUCUAAAUAGGUCUUGGAAUAAGGGGUGGGUAAGGACGGUGCCAGCCGCCGCGGUAAUACCGGCGCCUCAAGUGGUAGUCGCUUUUAUUGGGCCUAAAACGUCCGUAGCCGGUCUGAUACAUUCGUGGGUAAAUCAACCAGCUCAACUGGUUGAAUUCUGCGAGGACGGUCAGACUUGGGACCGGGAGAGGUGUGGGGUACGCUCAGGGUAGGGGUAAAAUCCUGUCAUCCUGAGCGGACCACCUGUUGCGAAGGCGCCACACUAGAACGGAUCCGACGGUCAGGGACGAAGCCUAGGGGCACGAACCGGAUUAGAUACCCGGGUAGUCCUAGGUGUAAACGCUGUGGACUUGAUGUUGGGAGUGCUCCGAGCACUCUCAGUGUCGAAGCGAAGGUGAUAAGUCCACUGCCUGGGAAGUACGGUCGCAAGGCUGAAACUUAAAGGAAUUGGCGGGGGAGCACCGCAACCUGAGGAUUGUGCGGUUUAAUUGGAUUCAACGCCGGA
rnacentral:rRNA from 1 species